CCCUUAGAUGUUCUGGGCCGCACACGCGCUACACUGAAGGAGGCAGCGUGUACUCCUGGAUCGAAAGAUUUGGGUAACCCGCGAAUCUCCUUCGUGCUAGGGAUUGAGGUUUGCAAUUAUCCUUCAUGAACGAGGAAUUCCCAGUAAGUGCAAGUCAUAAGCUUGCGCUGACUACGUCCCUGCCCUUUGUACACACCGCCCGUCGCUACUACCGAUUGAAUGAUUUAGUGAGGACUUCGGACUGGGUCCGAUGCGGCUUUCGGGCUGCGUCGGUAUUCUGGAAAGAUGUCCAAACUGUAUCAUUUAGAGGAAGUAAAAGUCGUAACA
rnacentral:rRNA from 1 species